rnacentral:rRNA from 1 species
AAACGAUGUCUACUAGUUGUCGGGUUUUAAUUAACUUGGUAACGCAGCUAACGCCGUGAAGUAGACCGCCUGGGGAGUACGGUCGCAAGAUUAAAAACUCAAAGGAAUUAACGGGGACCCGCACAAGCGGUGGAUGAUGUGGAUUAAUUCGAUGCAACGCGAAAAACCUUACCUACCCUUGACAUGUACGGAAGACCGAAGAGAUUUGGUUGUGCUCGAAAGAGAACCGUAACACAGGUGCUGCAUGGCUGUCGUCAGCUCGUGUCGUGAGAUGUUGGGUUAAGUCCCGCAACGAGCGCAACCCUUGUCAUUAGUUGCUACGAAAGGGCACUCUAAUGAGACUGCCGGUGACAAACCGGAGGAAGGUGGGGAUGACGUCAAGUCCUCAUGGCCCUUAUGGGUAGGGCUUCACACGUCAUACAAUGGUACAUACAGAGCGCCGCCAACCCGCCGAGGGGGAGCUAAUCGCAGAAAGUGUAUCGUAGUCCGGAUUGUAGUCUGCAACUCGACUACAUGAAGUUGGAAUCGCUAGUAAUCGCGGAUCAGCAUGUCGCGGUGAAUACGUUCCCGGGUCUUGUACACACCGCCCGUCACACCAUGGGAGCGGGUUUUACCAGAAGUAGGUAGCUUAACCGCCAAGGAGGGCGCUUACCACGGUAGGAUUCGUGANCUGGGGUGAAGUCGUAACCAAGGUACC